rnacentral:rRNA from 1 species
UGGGGAAUUUGGACAAUGGGCGAAGCCUGAUCCAGCAAUGCCGCGUGUGUGAAGAAGGCCUUCGGGUUGUAAAGCACUUUUGUCCGGAAAGAAAUCCUUGGCUCUAAUACAGUCGGGGGAUGACGGUACCGGAAGAAUAAGCACCGGCUAACUACGUGCCAGCAGCCGCGGUAAUACGUAGGGUGCAAGCGUUAAUCGGAAUUACUGGGCGUAAGCGUGCGCAGGCGGUUUGCUAAGACCGAUGUGAAAUCCCCGGGCUCACCUGGGAACUGCAUUGGUGACUGGGCAGGCUAGAGUAUGGCAGAGGGGGGUAGAAUUCCACGUGUAGCAGUGAAAUGCGUAGAGAUGUGGAGGAAUACCGAUGGCGAAGGCAGCCCCCUGGGCAAUACUGACGCUCAUGCACGAAAGCGU